GCUCUGAGAUGGAAUAACAGCAAUCUUUCUAAGGUCCAGGAGUGUACAGAGCUGACCUGUUUUCCAGUGCUCAUUUCCUUCCCAACCCCUCGCUCUAACCUCCUCUUGUCUCGUUGGAUUUCAUUUGGUUUUGUUUCACUUUUCAGCACAGACCCUUCCUUGCUCGGCCCGUGCCUCAUCUGGACAGAAUUGCAGGCUUAUCCUCUCCCACCUGAUGGAUAAUUUCCUGCACGACACAUUGCAAGACAAUCUGAAAAAUCAGACCCAGAGUUCCUGUCGUGGCCCAGCAGAAAUGAAUCCGACUGGGAACCAUGGGGUUGAGGGUUCGAUCCCUGGCCUUGUUCAGUGGAUUGUGGAUCUGAAAUUGCUGUGAGUUGUGGUGUGGGUCGCAGAUGUGGCUUGGAUCUAGUGUGGCUGUGGCUGUGGCUGUGACUGGCAGCUGUCCCCUUGGACCCCUGGCCUGGGAACCUCCAUAAUGCCACGGGUGCAGCCCUAAAAAGCAAAAAAAAAAGCUGUUCUUAUUAACCCACAGGGUGAAGGCACUGGAUAGGAGGUUCUUUAAACACCCCUCGAAGUAAAAAAAAAAAAGAAAAAAGAAAAAUCAGACUCACUUUAGAGGAAGGGGAAAGAGACCUCCG
ensembl:lncRNA